CUUUAAACAUCUCUUACUUCUGAGUUUAAAGGUAGUUUUCAGAAUUAACAGUUUACUGUAACAGAGAAUUAGUGUAAAGUUAAACAGCUAAAAAAAUAAAUAAAAAAGUCCACUUACUGGAACUGUUCACAGAAACUAAGAGCUGGGAACAAUCCCAGUUUCAGAAAUGCUCCUCUUUUAGGCAAGGCAUUACAGAGAUGUCAAAAAUACAAACUGAAAAAUAUGUACUACCUCUGAAUGUCCAAAAAAAUUCUACACGCCCCUAUAUCUUCAGCAUCUGCAGAGAACAGAAAGUAACAGAUAUCUUGAAUCCUAUUUGUAGAGAAUGUGGUCUACAAGACUUUGAAACAGAUCACUACUCUACAACCACAAAUAGUCC